UACGUAGGGCGCAAGCGUUAUCCGGAAUUAUUGGGCGUAAAGAGCUCGUAGGCGGUUUGUCGCGUCUGCCGUGAAAGUCCGGGGCUCAACUCCGGAUCUGCGGUGGGUACGGGCAGACUAGAGUGAUGUGGGGGAGACUGGAAUUCCUGGUGUAGCGGUGAAAUGCGCAGAUAUCAGGAGGAACACCGGUGGCGAAGGCGGCAUCCUGGACCGACACUGACGCUGAGGAGCGAAAGCCAGGGGAGCAAACGGG
rnacentral:rRNA from 1 species